AUUGAACGCUGGCGGCAGGCCUAACACAUGCAAGUCGAGCGAGCGGCGGACGGGUGAGUAAUGUAUGUGGAUUGCCCGAUAGAGGGGGAUAACUACUGGAAACGGUGGCUAAUACCGCAUACUAUCGGAUAACCCAUAUGGGAUUAGCUAGUAGGUGGGGUAAAGGCUCACCUAGGCGACGAUCUAUAGCUGGUCUGCGAGGGUGAUCAGCAACACUGGAACUGAGACACGGGCCAGACUCCUACGGAGGCAGCAGUGGGGAAGAUUGCGCAAUGGGCGAAAGCCUGAUGCAGCCAUGCCGCGUGUAUGAGGAAGGCCUUAGGGUUGUAAAGUACUUUCAUCGGGGAGGCGUUACCCGCAGAAGAAGCACCGGCUAACUACGUGCCAGCGGCCGCGGUAAUUC
rnacentral:rRNA from 1 species